UUCAAAGUUAGGGGUGAAAAAAAGCCCAAAACCUGAAGCUGCAAAUAGCAGCUUCCAAAAACAACUUAUUUCGAAAACAAGGGUGAACAGUGGUAUGUUUAAUGAAAUUUUCAAUAACCCAAAAUUGCCCUCCUUUCCCUCUCGUCUUCAGCUCUCGCAUACCCGACCCCUGGUAAACCACUCUCUCGUCCUCUCGUUCUCUCAUUCCAAAAACCAGCGAUCUCUCUCAUUCUCUCGUUCUCCAGGUUUCUCCAUGUUCCUUUGGCAAGCUUCUCUUGUAAAAAUUUGUUAUUAAUUUGUUUGGAUUUUUCAAUUUGGGGAUGGGAGAUUGAGAGGGAAAGAGGAGUGGGAAGAGCAAAGGGAUGAGGGUAUGGGUGUCGGGAAAAACAAUUGGGGAUGGAGGGUGGGGAAAAAUUAAAUGGGGAAGGUGACAUGGUUUGUGGAAAAAAUUAAUUGGGAAAAAAUUAAUUGGGGAAAAAAUUAGGGUUUGUGGAGGAAACAAGAAAAAUUGAGAGAGAAGUUUGAUUACUUCUCUAUUCAUUUUUUUAGAAGGUCUGCUUCUGAUUUGGGUUUAGCUCACCCCUCUUCGACGCCGUUUCAUCGUCUUCUUAAAGCUCUCGCAGUCUCUUCUGAAACUCCAACCUCCGGGAUCUUUUAAAUGCAUGUGUAUUUAUUAAACUGUCUUUGGCUUUGCUUUCACCAAAUCACUAGUCAACAUCAUCACCGCAUGUGUUCCUGCUGCCUUCAAAGCCGACCAGCCAAAGAUCAUCCCAUUGUGGACUCAAAGUCAGUACCGUGAUGCUUUCAACAACGCUACUUGUCCCCGUUGCUAUCCAUCCAUUGACCGACUGUGCAGAAACGUGUGCUCUCCAUCUGCUUUGAAGAAAAAAUAGAAAGAAAUAAGCAGAAUUCAUACAGCUUAAUCACAAAUCAUGGUCAUAACGUUUGUUCAUCUUCCCUUAUUGCAAGUAUGCAUAUACAAAUGUAUUGGGGGGAGGGGGUUGGGAACCGGCAGACAGAAUUUGGAUCUAGUGUGAUGAUCGUAUAAUUAUUAGCGAGUAAUCCAUCCAUCUUGAGGGAUCCAUUUUAUUUACGAGUCUUCAUUAAUAUAACAAGGUCUCAGUCAUUUUGUA